AUUUCUCCCCUUCGAGCUCAGG
rnacentral:miRNA from 1 species